AAAAAUUAAAAAAGGUCAAUUUCUCAGGAAAGAAAGCAGAGCCUCUCUUUUUAGAUUCCACAGAGAGAAAGCUCUCCCAUGGUUUCUCGUGGUAUCUGGUGCUGUCCUGGUCAGUUGUAAACUCCUCCACCAUUGGAUUUUUGUGUGAGUGAGUAUGUUGGUGUCUGAUUAUGUAUUUAUGGUGUCUACUAUGUUUGAGUUUUGUUUUAUUUUCAUGGUGUUUUUUCACCUUGAGAAACUGUUCCAACCGGUAUUGUUGCUUGUCGUAUUUCUGGGCUUCUGAUGAGUGUUGAAGAGCUGGUCCUUGUGGUUUGCUCAUAAGUUCCUUGCUAGUCAUGGUCAUCUUCGAGUUACAGUUGUCAGGCUUGGAUUAUCUUUUGUUUUGGAGUGGGGCUCUUGGCUGGGCUCUUCUGUGUUCUAGAGAGAGAAGGACGAAGUUUAUGGGUGUGUUAUCUGGCCUGAGUUGCCUUGUCUCCGGCGUGAAUUGCUUGGAGUGACAAGGGUCCCCUUGUGAUAUUUUCUGCUCUGGUUAUGUUCCCUUCCGGGGUUGGUCUCGCCGGCGUGAUUGUGCGGUGUGUUGCUGCCUUGGUCUACUCCGCGGGUUUAGUGGUUUUUACCCACAUGGCCGUGGUGGGUUUAUAUGGAGAUUAGUUUUGCUGAAGCAUGGUUGUGCUGUAUCAGAGGAUCUCAAACGUAUUGGAUCAUGGGCCUCAUCUGUCCUACUGUUUUUUUGAAGGGCUACAAAUAUCUGUACUGCCGAGUUUGGUGGGCUUUGAAAAUUGAUGUGGGUUCUACUAAGUGGGGCCCAUGGCACAAGUUUAAGAAGCAAGGAGUCACUGGUUGUGGCCACGUUUUGUUUAAAAUUAUUGGGCUGCUUUCAUAGCCCAAUUCAUGGUAUUUUUGUUUGGGCUAGUAUAUUUAACGCCCUAGUGAGUUAGGAUGUUAACCGUGGGCUUUUUGCCAGCCACGGUUUUGCUGAAAAUUGGUGUGGGUUGUUCUAUCUAUCUUUUGUAUAUUUGUCCAUAUAUUUUCCCCAAAUAUCUAUUUAUUAUUUUAUGAUAGAGGGUACUUGGGAAUAAAAAAGGAUAUAUGGACAAUUUUGCUUUUUAUGUAUGUGUUCUUUUGUGGGGGUAUCCUGCUGUCGCGGGAGUGUUUUAAUUAUUUUAUUAGUUUCCAUUUUUGGGCGGUUAUGAGAUUUGUUGUAUUAGUUGGGGUAUGUCCUUUGUAAAUGUGUAAGUUUGUGUUUGAUAGGAUUUUGUAAUUAUGAUUUGAGUGUAUGAAUUGUAUUUUAAGUUUG